AACUUUCAACAACGGAUCUCUAGGCUCUUGCAUCGAUGAAGAAUGCAGUGAAAUGCGAUAAGUAAUGUGAAUUGCAGAAUCUCGUGAAUCAUCGAAUCUUUGAACGCACAUUGCGCCUUAUGGUAAUCCGUAAGGCAUGCCUGUCUGAGCGUCAUAUGCCUCCACCUCAAGCUUCUUUAACUUGGAUUGCCUUGGAAAAGCACUCGCAACCUGAGCUGCCUUCCAGAAAUCUAUAGGCGGUAUGGCUGUUUUUAGACCAGACGUAAUAUUUCAAAAAUCGUCUUCUAAAAGAAUUGUACUUGCCAUUAACCCACCCUUAAUCAUACUUGGGUGACCUCAGAUCAGGUAGGGAUACCCGCUGAACUUAAGCAUAUCAAUAAGCGGAGGCU
rnacentral:misc_RNA from 1 species